CUAUUUCAGCUCUCCGCCGCCGCUGCUUGUCGUUGCCGCCGUUCGGAUCACUGGGAACAUGGCAGUGAUCACCGGAACCACCAUCGGAGUUACCGUUAUUUCAAUUCAGCCGUUCGUCCUUGUUUGGGAUCGAGUUCCGGGUCUUGAUUGCUGAGUUCUAUGGCUGUAGCAUACAACAUCAAGGUGCUGUGUCGUCACCGAAGCUGCUGUUGCUCCAUUUUCUCAAUUAUUUGUAAGCCCAGAUUGAGCUAAGGCUAUGUUUAGAGGUUGUGGCUGCUGCGGGGACAGUCGGUAUUGAUGUUGCUGCUGUGGAAUAAGAAUAAAAAUGUAGUUUGUCGCGUAGUUGGAUCGCGAAUGAGCUUUACCUUUUCAGGAACCAGAUGAAGAAGUAUUAAGAAGAGUUAUGCUGCAUUUGGUUUAUAUGCUGUUGUAUUAAUUAGAUUAUUUUCUUCCCUCGUCUUUGUUAUUACAAGUUUGUAAGAGGGAUAGGAAUUGUAUGUUUUAUAUGUACAAUAUAUUGAAUUAUUAUGUAAGGAGUCUUGUAUAUGAAUCUAUGCCUGUUUGUAUUUCCUUAAGAUAAAGUAUUUAUUUCUGGUUUUU